rnacentral:antisense_RNA from 2 species
GUAGGAGUGAGCCUGCUCGCGAUGGCGGUCUGUCAGUCAUAUCAAUGUUGACUGAUACGCCGCCAUCGCGAGCAGGCUCGCUCCUAC